rnacentral:rRNA from 1 species
AUUGAACGCUGGCGGCAUGCCUUACACAUGCAAGUCGAACGGCAGCACGGGUGCUUGCACCUGGUGGCGAGUGGCGAACGGGUGAGUAAUACAUCGGAACAUGUCCUGUAGUGGGGGAUAGCCCGGCGAAAGCCGGAUUAAUACCGCAUACGAUCUACGGAUGAAAGCGGGGGACCUUCGGGCCUCGCGCUAUCGGGUUGGCCGAUGGCUGAUUAGCUAGUUGGUGGGGUAAAGGCCUACCAAGGCGACGAUCAGUAGCUGGUCUGAGAGGACGACCAGCCACACUGGGACUGAGACACGGCCCAGACUCCUACGGGAGGCAGCAGUGGGGAAUUUUGGACAAUGGGCCAAAUCCUGAUCCAGCAAUGCCGCGUGUGUGAAGAAGGCCUUCGGGUUGUAAAGCACUUUUGUCCGGAAAGAAAUCCUUGGCCCUAAUACGGUCGGGGGAUGACGGUACCGGAAGAAUAAGCACCGGCUAACUACGUG